CCUACGGGUGGCAGCAGUGGGGAAUAUUGGGCAAUGGGCGCAAGCCUGACCCAGCAACGCCGCGUGAAGGAAGAAGGCUUUCGGGUUGUAAACUUCUUUUAGCAGGGACGAAGCAGUUGACGGUACCUGAUGAAUAAGCCACGGCUAACUACGUGCCAGCAGCCGCGGUAAUACGUAGGUGGCAAGCGUGAUCCGGAUUUACUGGGUGUAAAGGGCGUGUAGGCGGGAGUGCAAGUCAGAUGUGAAAACUAUGGGCUCAACCCAUGACCUGCAUUUGAAACUGUACUUCUUGAGUUUUGGAGAGGCAAGCGGAAUUCCGGGUGUAGCGGUGAAAUGCGUAGAGAUACGGAGGAACACCAGUGGCGAAGGCGGAUUGCUGGACAGUAACUGACGCUGAGGUGCGAAAGCGUGGGGAGCAAACAGGAUUAGAUACCCGAGUAGUC
rnacentral:rRNA from 1 species